rnacentral:rRNA from 1 species
AUGCUUCUGUCCCGUCGAAAAUGGAUGGUAGGUGGCUGGGGCCGGCGGCUCACUGGUGGUGGGGUGGCUUGCCGGGGUUGGGCUGCGGCGGCGUUGCGGAUAAGGUUGUGGUCGGGGUUGGUUGAUUGGAUGGAGAGAGAGAGGAAGAAGACAGAGGCUGAUAGGUGGGACCUCAUCCAACUCAGCAAAAUUGUCCACACAAGCAUGCCACAUCAGACCGACAGAUGGGGCCCACAUGUCGGUUUCACUGUUUUCGUGAGCAAAUCAUACAAUCAGUGCUCCGCGUUAUUGGUUAGGCAUAAAAUUGGUAGUUUCUUGUGA